rnacentral:lncRNA from 1 species
CUUAGGUUCGAGCAGAAGGAACUUGAUAGACCUGACAGAAAUGAGCUUGUACUGGGUGAAUUCCCCCUCUCAGUGUCCCUUGGUGCGAACAGGAGGGCGCGGCAUGUUGCUGAAAAACUGCUCAUACCGUGCAUUGGUCUCUCGGAGUUGGCGCAACUCCUCGCGCUUGUCUUCAGGCAGAUCCGUGGUGGUAGGAAGGCGCUCCGACAGAUUGGUGAUGGCUGUGAGGAGCUGUUCGUGGUGUUCUUCAAUGAACUUCUGUACUCCAAUCAGAUGCCCCUCGAACUGGGGCACUUUCUCCUCCAUCGUACGGAGUCUUCCUUCCAACUUCUGGCUGAUCUCCUCUUUGUGGGCCAGCGUCAGUAAGAUCUGCG